GACGAACGCUGGCGGCGUGCUUAACACAUGCAAGUCGAACGGAAAGGCCCUGCUUUUGUGGGGUGCUCGAGUGGCGAACGGGUGAGUAACACGUGAGUAACCUGCCCUUGACUUUGGGAUAACUUCAGGAAACUGGGGCUAAUACCGGAUAGGAGCUCCUGCUGCAUGGUGGGGGUUGGAAAGUUUCGGCGGUUGGGGAUGGACUCGCGGCUUAUCAGCUUGUUGGUGGGGUAGUGGCUUACCAAGGCUUUGACGGGUAGCCGGCCUGAGAGGGUGACCGGCCACAUGGGGACUGGGAUACGGCCCAGACCCCUAGGGGGGGCUGCAGGGGGGAAUAUUGCACAAGGGGCGGAAGCCUGAUGCAGCAACGCCGGGGGGGGGAUGACGGCCUUCGGGUUGUAAACCGCUUUCGCCUGGGACGAAGCGUGAGGGACGGUAAUGGGUAAAGAAGCACCGGCUAACUACGU
rnacentral:rRNA from 1 species